CCAUUUUUGAUUGGUUCCGUUGUCACUGUGCUUGUGAUUCUUGAAAGCGUCGCUCCGGAUACUGAAUUCAUGCAGCGGAGAAUAAAAACUCCCCAGCCCUAGGUUCAGGAACGAGAAAUGGAGCCUGCCAAUGUCGUCGAUAUCCCUAGUAGCGACGACGAAGACGAUACCAGAAUAGAGAAGAAGCCGUCAAUUGAUCAGCCGCUGCACACAGGAGUAACAGCGCAAGUGCAGACUUCCGUAGCAAUUCCUCAGCCUAGUAGUAGUUACAGUAAGAUGAACCUGAGAUCGGAGUCGCGUUGUUUCUGGAAAGCAGGGGACUAUGAUGUCGGACAUUCGUAUUCUGCUCUCGAAAGAGGUCAGCUCGAACAUGCACGUGUUCAUCCGAAAUUUCUUCAUUCCAAUGCGACAUCUCACAAAUGGGCUUUUGGAGCAAUUGCGGAGCUUCUGGAUAAUGCGGUUGAUGAGAUCUGUAAUGGUGCAACUUUUGUGAAGGUGGAUAAAAUCUGUAACAUGAAGGAUAAUACUCCAGCUUUACUUUUCCAGGAUGAUGGAGGGGGAAUGGAUCCUGAGAGUAUGCGGAAAUGUAUGAGCCUGGGGUACUCCUCAAAGAAGGCAAAUACAACAAUUGGUCAAUAUGGUAAUGGGUUCAAGACAAGUACCAUGCGAUUGGGUGCUGAUGUUAUUGUUUUUUCUCGUGCCUCUUGUGCAAGCCAUGUAACGCAGAGCAUUGGUCUUCUCUCUUAUACAUUUUUGAGGAGAACUGGGCAGGAUGAUGUGAUUGUUCCCAUGGUCGAUUUUGAACUAUCUGAGCAGCGGAUGGAACCAAUAAUUUACAGCUCACAAGAUGAUUGGGAUGCUGACUUACAAAUUAUUCUUGGGUGGUCUCCGUUUGCAUCAAAGGAAGAGCUUAUGCUACAGUUUGAGGAUAUUGGACCUCAUGGAACCAAGGUAAUAAUAUUCAACCUCUGGCUCAAUGAUGAUGGGAUGCUUGAGCUGGAAUUUGAUGAGGAUGAGGAGGAUAUUCGUUUGAGAGAUGAAGCUAUCUGUGGUAGUUCUGCAAGAACAAAUAAGCACAGCAGAUUAGUUAGGUCCCUCUUAUCCUACCGCAUUCGCUUUUCACUAAGGGAAUAUGCUUCCAUUUUGUAUCUCAGAAGAUUCUCAAAUUUCCGUAUUAUUUUAAGGGGGAAGUCUGUUCAGCAGUUUAAUAUUGCAGAUGAGUUGAAGUUUCCAAAGGUGGUAAAGUAUAGACCAAAACUGGGGAUUACAUCAAAGGAGGUUUUAGUGGAGACAACUAUUGGGUUUAUGAAAGAGGCUCCUCUACCGAUAUCUGGGUUCAACGUCUACCAUAAAAAUCGUCUCAUCAGGCCCUUCUGGAAAGUAACUAGUGAUGGUGGUUCCAUGGGAUUGGGUGUUAUUGGGGUUCUUGAAGCCAAUUUUAUUGAACCAGCACAUGACAAGCAAGAUUUUGAAAGAACAUCUCUGUUUAUUCGGCUGGAAAUGAAGCUUAAACAAAUAAUAACCGAAUACUGGACAAAACACUGUCACUUGAUAGGAUAUCAGACUCCAGGCUCUGCUUAUCGUACUCGCAGAGAAUGUUCUGCUGAUCAGCCAUCUGUUAGAGUUCCCACUAAUCCACAGAAGGAAUUUCCUGCUGAUCGUCAUGUCAUUGGUAGUUCAGCUAAUGCUCAAAAGGAAAUGCAUACAGAUCCACCUGUCAUUGACCUUGCUGCUAACAUGAGGCAAGAAUUGAACAAUUCACCAUCUGGUACUUGUCUCACUUCUAAUGUUCAGGAAGGAAUGCCUACUGUUCAACCUGUUACUGGUCUCACAGCUGGCUCCCCUAACAGAAUGGCAUCUUUAGAUAAUUCAGCAACCCCAUUAGUUGAUCAGAUAUGUGAAGAGAACAUACAAUUAUUUUUGAGGUGUGAAGAGCACAUAGAGAAGGAGAGUGAUUUAAAACAGACGAUCGCAGAACUAGAGAGGGAAUUGGAAGAAACUAGAAGAAAAUGUGCUCAACUUUCUUCACAUUUAGAAAGUCAAAGGAAGCAAAAGCUUAUGAAGCUACGAACUAAUGAGAUUUGAUACCACAGGUUAAUCUUCUGAGAGGAUAGAUCAGUAUGGCAUGACCUGAAGAAAGUUCAUUAUUGUAUCAGCUGCAGAAGUCUACGCUGCCUUCUAAAUUUGUAAGAUAGAGCGGGUUGGAAGGUAGCAGUUAUUGGUUUAUAUGUGAAGUGUCUGCAAUUUCCUUCGUCUCUAUGGCAAUCUGUGCUGAACUUUCUUCAGGUCAAGUGGAGUUGGCCAAGUGGAAAUAUUUAGUUUUGAAAAUCCAAGUCUAUGGUAGGGAACGCUAAAGUUGGGUGAGUACAAUAUUAAAAGGGCAGCAUAUGGUAUAUGAUCGAAUUUGAUUAUGAGAUUUGAUACAUUGCUAAGCCAUAUCGUCCUUUUCUACCCAAACGAAAGUCAUUCCUUGGAUAUCCAAUAGUGUGAAUGCUUAAUGCAUCAUUCCAUGUGCCAGAAUUAGGUGGUCGUUCAGAGCUUCAUCUUUUGAAUUCAAAUGAGUAUAAGUUUUGCUUGUCUUUGGUGGAAUAUUUUAAUCACAAGGGUUUGUGACUUUUUCAAACCUCGUUAGACACCCAUUUUGUCACAAGUAUAGAUGACAUGUCCAUUUUGACCGUUGGAUAGAGAACAUAUUCUAGACUAAUCAUGUGUAAAAUUUCAGAAUAUUCAAUCGAAUAUCCUCGUAUAUUGACAUGCAUCUUGUGUAUGUUCAUGCAUGUGUACCAGUAUUCUAGUCAUUAUUAUGCACUUUCACUAACUUGAGUAGGAAUAAACGAUUUAGAUAGGAAUACCAACAAAAAUUGGGUUGCUUGGAUUUGUCUUUUUGAGACUUUUUGAAAAUGGCACAAAUUGUUGUGACAUUAAUCACCCUUAUUUUAGUAUCUAUUACAAUACUAGGAACUAGGAAGGACACCCAUGCGAGACUAGCAGAGUGGCACCCUUGAUCUUUUAUAAUUUUUAAGGGAAAAAGAUUGUUACACUGCUAGUGGUCAAUUUCCUGAUCACAUAAAUUUUUUUUUCACUUUUCUAUUGAAAAUGUGGGUCUAAGUAGAUCAAAACACAUAUUGAUGUACUGUGCAGAUUCAUCCCAAGAUUGACAGGGUGGGAAACCCUCUAUUUUAUGGUUGUAAAAUUUUGCCAUUUGGUAGAAUAAUGAUGUGGUUAGUCGGGCGUUGGAUGGAUAUGAUCUUGGUAGGUGAAUUGUCAAAUUUGAGGCUCAAAUUUAAUCA